rnacentral:rRNA from 1 species
GAUGAACGCUAGCUACAGGCUUAACACAUGCAAGUCGAGGGGCAGCAUGGUCUUAGCUUGCUAAGGCCGAUGGCGACCGGCGCACGGGUGAGUAACACGUAUCCAAUCUGCCGUCUACUCUUGGACAGCCUUCUGAAAGGAAGAUUAAUACAAGAUUGCAUCAUGAGUCCGCAUGUUCACAUGAUUAAAGGUAUUCCGGUAGACGAUGGGGAUGCGUUCCAUUAGAUAGUAGGCGGGGUAACGGCCCACCUAGUCUUCGAUGGAUAGGGGUUCUGAGAGGGAACGGCCCCCCACAUUGGAACUGAGACACGGUACCAAACUCCGUACGGGGAGGCAGCAGUGAGGAAUAUUGG